rnacentral:lncRNA from 1 species
AGGAGCAGGGGGCAAUGCCACAGAGGCGCUGGGAGGAGGCUCCGGGUUGGCACCUUCUUCACCUGUGGCAGGAUUCAUGAGUGGGAGGCCCUUCGCCCCGGCUGCACAUGAGCGCGAAUGUGACCCCCGGUGACAAGCAUGGGGACCUCCUCCAGCCCCCAGCCACCAGGCCCUCUUGUCCCUAACCCUGAGGCUCUCCCACGCAGGCCUGAAUUCCCAGAAAACUGGGAGCAGCUUUGAGUUCUGCGGAUGACGGAUUUCCGGAAUGGCUUUUAACGGGGUCGUUUUCAGAAAUUCCUCUCACGUAAAGGGCAACUGCUGGGCUUUGUGUACAGGCUGAAGGCCUGGGAGGGACAGGGGCCUUCACCCUGGCUCCUCCUCCUCUAUUUUUCUCUUGAUCAUAUUGUUGGAAAAAUCGCUUUCUCAGGCUCCCCGGUGGUAGUAGUAGUAGCCAUGUAGACCAGCACCAGCUGAGCCUUCCCUGCCAGGUGCAAUCCAGAUCGUCCCUGUGUUCGCUCCCUGCACCUCCCUGGGAGUCCUUCUGGGGAUGGAGGGCAGUUGGAGGGUGCGUGUUCAGCCUUACUGGACAGUGUCCACCGUGCGUACUCGAGCAAGUGCCUUGAGGUCUCUGGGCCUUGUAGCAGCAUCUAUGCAGCAGGAGAAAAACAGCACCUGCUUCGUAGGCCGCCGUGAGGACAGAGCAAUUGAACCAGGGUGCACGGCCAGCGCCAGACACAGUGAGCUUCAUGGCAACUCCAGUUUACCGGGAAGCCUGGGAGACCUGCUCUGCCGAACGUGGUCCAAAUCCUCAUGGAGACAGGCGCACCAGAUCCUGCACCCAGGAGCUGGGACGCCGCUGGCAUGGGCCUGCUUAGGACUGUUCAGCAUCUCCUCACGCCAUUGCCCGACCCGCUAAUCAGCUUGAGGAGAAAGGAGAGAGGAAAUGCCGUCCUUUGACAAGAUGUGGGAAACCACCUCGGUUUGUACUUGGUGUGGCUGUGACCGGCAAACAAAGAACCCUCCCCGGCUCUGGGGCCAAGUUUCCAAUAAACUUUUCCCUGAGCACU